UGGGAAGUAAACAUUCAGACAGAUGAGCCU
rnacentral:piRNA from 1 species